GGAAGAUUUGGGAGAGAUGAGUUUAAGUGUUUACUGGUGAAGAAAAGAAAGAGACUUUGGAGAGAAAGCAUUUGCCAAGACCUCCUAUUUACUCUGAGAUAGUUCCUUCCCACACUAUACUACCUAGGAUAUGUUGUUGUCCCCUCCAAGUUGCUGGUGAGGACCAUUCUUCUGCUGCCUGAGGUCAGGGCAUUCAGAGCCAUGGAGAGACGGAAAGAAACAGACAGACAGAGGCUGCCCCUGCGACCUCAGGUCCUGCUUGCCAGGUGUUGCGGUCACACUCCUUGGCUCCAGCUCAAGAGUUACCCCAUUAUGAAGCUUUUUACACUUGCUGCACAGUUUGGCCUCCUUGGUGUGAAAGUCGUAAAGAGAGAAAAGUAAAUGCUUGCAU